CCUACGGGAGGCUGCAGUGAGGAAUAUUGGUCAAUGGGCGUAAGCCUGAACCAGCCAAGUCGCGUGAGGGAUGAAGGUUCUAUGGAUCGUAAACCUCUUUUAUAAGGGAAUAAAGUGUGGGACGUGUCCUGUUUUGUAUGUACCUUAUGAAUAAGGCUCGGCUGACCUCGUGGCAGCAGGCGCGGUGAUUCGGGGGAUCCGAGCGUUGAGCGGAUUUUUUUGGUUUAAAGGGUGCGUAGGUGGCUUUUUAAGUCCGUGGGGAAAGUCUGUGGGUCAACCAUAGAAUUGCCGUUGAAACUGGCUGGAUUGAGAAUGUUAGAGGCAGGCGGAAUGCGUGGUGUAGCGGUGAAAUGCAUAGAUAUCACGCAGAACCCCGAUUGCGAAGGCAGCAUGCCAGGGCAAGACUGACGCUGAUGCACGAAAGCGUGGGGAUCGAACAGGAUUAGAUACCCUUGUAGUC
rnacentral:rRNA from 1 species